CCGGACCUGACUGCUAUCGGAUUGGUACUAAGCCAUGCGAGUCAUUGUAGCAAUACAAGGCGGACGGCUCAGUAACACGUAGUCAACCUAACUCGUGGACGUGGAUAACCUCGGGAAACUGAGAAUAAACCACGAUAGAUCAUAGUGCCUGGAAUGGCUUAUGGUCCAAACAGUUUACUGCCAUGGGAUGGGACUGCGGCCUAUCAGCUUGUUGGUGAGGUAAUGGCCCACCAAGGCGAUUACAGGUACGGGCUCUGAGAGGAGAAGCCCGGAGAUGGGUACUGAGACACGGACCCAGGCCCUAUGGGGCGCAGCAGGCGAGAAACCUUAGCAAUGUGCGAAAGCACGACUGGGUCAGUCCGAGUGAUUCCUGAUAAAGGAGUCUUUUGCCUGUCCUAAAAGCACAGGUGAAUAAGGGGUGGGCAAGUCUGGUGUCAGCCGCCGCGGUAAUACCGGCACCUCGAGUGGUCAGGACGUUUAUUGGGCCUAAAGCAUCCGUAGCCGGCUCUGCAAGUCUUCGGUUAAAUCCACCUGCUCAACAGAUGGGCCGCUGGAGAUACUACAGAGCUAGGGAGUGGGAGAGGCAGACGGUAUUCAGUGGGUAGGGGUAAAAUCCUCUGAUCCAUUGAGGACCACCAGUGGCGAAGGCGGUCUGCCAGAACACGUUCGACGGUGAGGGAUGAAAGCUGGGGGAGCAAACCGGAUUAGAUACCCGGGUAGUCCCAGCUGUAAACGAUGCAAACUCGGUGAUGCAUUGGCUUAUGGCCAAUGCAGUGCCGCAGGGAAGCCGUUAAGUUUGCCGCCUGGGAAGUACGGACGCAAGUCUGAAACUUAAAGGAAUUGGCGGGGGAGCACCACAAGGGUGAAGCCUGCGGUUCAAUUGGAUUCAACGCCGG
rnacentral:rRNA from 1 species